UACGAGGGGGGCUAGCGUUGCUCGGAAUCACUGGGCGUAAAGCGCACGUAGGCGGCUUUUUAAGUCAGGGGUGAAAUCCUGGAGCUCAACUCCAGAACUGCCUUUGAUACUGAGAAGCUUGAGUCCGGGAGAGGUGAGUGGAACUGCGAGUGUAGAGGUGAAAUUCGUAGAUAUUCGCAAGAACACCAGUGGCGAAGGCGGCUCACUGGCCCGGUACUGACGCUGAGAUGCGAAAGCGUGGGGAGCAAACAGG
rnacentral:rRNA from 1 species